rnacentral:rRNA from 1 species
UACGUAGGGGGCAAGCGUUGUCCGGAAUCAUUGGGCGUAAAGCGCGUGUAGGCGGCCUUGUAAGUCCGUUCUGAAAGUCCGGGGCUCAACCCCGGGAGGCGGAUGGAUACUGCAAGGCUCGAGUCCGGAAGAGGCAAGUGGAAUUCCCGGUGUAGCGGUGAAAUGCGCAGAUAUCGGGAAGAACACCCGUGGCGAAGGCGGCUCUCUGGGACGGUACUGACGCUGAGACGCGAAAGCGUGGGGAGCAAACAGG